UACGUAGGUGGCAAGCGUUGUCCGGAUUUACUGGGCGUAAAGGGCUUGUAGGCGGUUCGUUAAGUCCGGUGUGAAAUCUCCCGGCUCAACCGGGAGCGGCCAUCGGAUACUGGCGAGCUAGAGGUGGGCAGAGGAAAGCGGAAUUCCCGGUGUAGCGGUGAAAUGCGCAGAUAUCAGGAAGAACACCAAUGGCGAAAGCAGCUUUCUGGGACGGUACUGACGCCGAGACGCGAAAAGCGUGGGGAGCGAACAGG
rnacentral:rRNA from 1 species